rnacentral:lncRNA from 1 species
GAAAACAAAAGAACAGAACUACAAUUCAUGUCUUCCUGCACAAUUCUCGGACACUUGUCGCCGCUCCAAAAUACUUGCAACUUCGUUCCCAUUUGGUUGCUGCAACUCUAGAGAACAUAGAACAGCUCUCCGAUCGGAACCUCAAAAGGUUGCCAAUCCAAAAUACUUGCAACACCACAUAGCUUAAUUACCUAAUAAGAUAAAAAGGUGAAAUAUCAGUGAAAUGUGCUAUGUACAUCAUUCACUCUUGCUUUGUUAUUAGGUGGAAAUAUUGAAACAAUGUUACUAUACUGCUAUAAAUUAUUUGGUGACCCCAGAUAUUUAUAAAAGUGACAGCGAUGUUAUACAUGUUUUAAGAGAUAGUGCAGAUUUAGUAUCCAUUAGCAGCAUUUUGGGUUAACUGAAUUUUGGCUGAAGGGGUAGGAAUUAUCAUGAUUAUCCAUACAGCAAAAGCAAACCCCUAUAAAUCUGCUAGAGCAGUAUUAUAAAGUUUUUUUUAGUAAUAUUCUGCUUUUGUGUACAUCUGAAAUUCGCUUAGCAAAUUAACAUGUACCUUUUGAGUGUUGUGGUGUGUUCCUGUCAUCCUUCAU